rnacentral:misc_RNA from 1 species
GAUGAAGAACGUAGCGAAAUGCGAUAAGUAAUGUGAAUUGCAGAAUUCAGUGAAUCAUCGAAUCUUUGAACGCACAUUGCACCCGCCAGUAUUCUGGCGGGCAUGCCUGUUCGAGCGUCAUUACAACCCUCAGGCCCCCGGGCCUGGCGUUGGGGAUCGGCGGAAGCCCCCUGUGGGCACACGCCGUCCCUCAAAUACAGUGGCGGUCCCGCCGCAGCUUCCAUUGCGUAGUAGCUAACACCUCGCAACUGGAGAGCGGCGCGGCCAUGCCGUAAAACACCCAACUUCUGAAUGUUGACCUCGAAUCAGGUAGGAAUACCCGCUGAACUUAAGCAUAUCAAUAAGCGGAGGA